rnacentral:rRNA from 1 species
AUGAUUUGACGAAAGAAAAUCUGUCUUAGCUUAUUAAAAAAAAAUUAACCUAGAAGUUAAAAGGCUUCUAUUUCCUAAAGGGACGACAAGACCCUAUAAAGCUUUAUUUAUAAUAUUUUUAUUUACUUCAAUAAAAAAUAUAAAUUUAUAAAUUCUAUUGGGGCGAUAGAUAAAUAAACAUUAUUGACUAUAACGUCUUUAACGAAAUUUAUAAAAUGUUUUUAAAAUAUACAACAAGUUACUUUAGGGAUAACAGCAUAAUUUCUUUUUAGAGUCCUUAUCGACAAAGAAGAUUAUGACCUCGAUGUUGGAUUAAG